rnacentral:rRNA from 1 species
GAUGAACGCUAGCGGCAGGCCUAACACAUGCAAGUCGAGGGGCAGCAUUUCUAGCUUGCUAGAAGAUGGCGACCGGCGCACGGGUGCGUAACGCGUAUACAAUCUGCCUAUCACUGAGGGAUAGCCCGAAGAAAUUUGGAUUAAUACCUCAUAGUAUUGUUAAAUCGCAUGAUUUUACAAUUAAAGGUUACGGUGAUAGAUGAGUAUGCGUCCUAUUAGCUAGAUGGUAAGGUAAAGGCUUACCAUGGCUACGAUAGGUAGGGGUCCUGAGAGGGAGAUCCCCCACACUGGUACUGAGACACGGACCAG